UCCCAGUUAUUUCGAAUUAAUUAACAUCGUGAGAUCUAAAAUAUGCCGGCCCAAAACUAUAUGUGCCUCUCGGAAUUUUUAGAUUUCAUCAGAAUACUGUACCGACCAAUGCGAUUAGAAAGAAUUGGGCGGGAAAGAAAUGACAAAUGUGCUUAUGUUAUCAGUAUGUUAUGUUAUGGGUAACAUCCUCCGCCUUAACAUACAAUAAAGCGUCAUGGAGAAUUUGUUUAUUAGGAUCAGUCCCAAAUGUAACUGAUCAGCGUACAGAAAAACAAAGCUCUAUUCUGAUGGCUCCGUGGCUGAAUCUAGAACUGCGCUAAGAAAGUUCCGUCGAAUCCAAACAAAUUCAUUAUUUCCGUCGCACUUGAGAAGAUAUACCGAUUUGCUCCAUGUUCAAUCAACUGGGUAUGUACCCUGAGGAUAUACGGUAUUACCUUGCAUCUAAAACUGAGGGAAGCCUGCUUGAGUUAUUUGAGAACUAUGUUCUCCCAAUGAGAGCAACUAUCUCAUCCAGUGACAUUUACCUCGUCAGCUGCCUUCAAAGAGGGAUGAUGUAAUGUAUUUCCAUUUAAUGGAAUGUAUUUCCAUUUCAUCAUGAAAUGAUGUCCUGAAGCCACAUUUUCUUUUUAUGAGAAAAAGUUUAUUAAGUAAUUAUUUGAAAGGUUUUUGAAAGCAAUUUAGUGAAAUAUUAGAAAAAUAACCUGUAUUAAGAGCGCUUCCAUGGGAUAGCUUGGUGGAAAAGAAAGAUGGAUAGCUGUAGGAUUGCAGCUUCCAUAUAAAAUGAAGAUUGUGUAACCUUAGUUUCAAACCUGUCUGAAAUGUAUUUUGAUUACAGCUUAGGUUCCUUUGUGAGAAAAAAAAAUAGUGGCUCUUCUCUGCUACCUUGUUUAGUAGAAAAAGAGGCAAUUUAAUGUAUCUCAUACAUUUGUUCUAGCGACCUAUUCUGGUGCAAAGUUGUGCCUUACACUGCAUUUCAGUUGAUAUUGCAGUCUCAAGAAACAGCCUGCCUUUGAUGUUUGCUUUCUAUUUGUCAUAUCUUGAUCUACUUGUGCCUUGAUAUUAUCUUUAUUUUUAAUUCCUAAAUUUGCUCUACAUACCUAUGCCAACUGCAUCCUGCCUAGAGGCUUGCAAAUUGUGCAGCCUUUUAGUUUAUUUUUGUAGCCUUUUAUUUAGUUUCCUUCUUAUGCACAUAAUUUCAACAUAAAAAAUAUAAUCCUAUAAUAAAAAUUAUUGCAUAUAUGCAAUGCCCAGUGUAUUCUCCUGGUUUGAUUAUAUUAUUGUGCUUCUGAUUAGUUGUGAAUAGGGUAAGACCUUUUUGUUAUUAUAAAUAAUUGUUUUUUCAUUAUGCUGUCAUAAAAGUGGAAUGUUCAAUUUCUUGCAAAUAUUUUGUAUUAGCAGAACUGCAUGCAAGUAAGAAUAAAUUUUAUAGCCUCUUUAAAUUUUUUUUCUAUUUUAAAGCAGCUUUGCAUCAUCAUGAUACAAGUACUGCCCCUUUGCAAAAUUGCACGGUGAGUCUACAUUGCAAAUAUUAUUGCAACAAGUAAUAUAACAGAAAAUUGAACCUGUGGGAUCUUCCAGUUAAUUUUUCUGCCACUAACAUAAUCCACACUCCCAUCAUUCCCAGAAUAUUGUAAAAAAGUAGAACUCAUGCCAAAUGUUAAUACCUGGGUUUCCCCCUUCUACAAAUGUGAAUUUUCUUCAGAAACUGCUCCAUUUUGGUUAUUCAAAUAUCAAGUGUUUUCAUUCAGAAAUAUUGUGAGACGUGUUUGUAAGGAGUGCCUUCUCCAAACCAUACCGUGUUAAAAUGGAUCUUGUCACAUCCACCUUAAAUAAAGUUCAGGUACUCAGUU